rnacentral:rRNA from 1 species
GACGAACCGUGCGAACGUUGUUCGGAAUCACUGGGCUUAAAGGGCGCGUAGGCGGGCGACCUAGUCGGGGGUGAAAUCUUUCGGCUCAACCGGAAAAUAGCCUUCGAUACUGGUCGUCUGGAGGGGGGUAGGGGCGUGUGGAACUUCCGGUGGAGCGGUGAAAUGCGUUGAUAUCGGAAGGAACUCCGGUGGCGAAAGCGACACGCUGGACCUCACCUGACGCUGAUGCGCGAAAGCCAGGGGAGCGAACGGG